UACGUAGGUGACCAGCGUUGUCCGGAUUUACUGGGCGUAAAGAGCGCGCAGGCGGUCGUUCAAGUCGAGUGUGAAAGCCCCCGGCUCAACUGGGGAGGGUCACUCGAUACUGAUCGACUUGAAGGCAGAAGAGGGAAGCGGAAUUCCCGGUGUAGUGGUGAAAUGCGUAGAUAUCGGGAGGAACACCAGUGGCGAAGGCGGCUUUCUGGUCUGUUCUUGACGCUGAGGCGCGAAAGCUAGGGUAGCAAACGGGG
rnacentral:rRNA from 1 species